CCAGAAAACAGUCAACCAUAAACAGUCAGCAAGAAAACAGUCAACAAGAAAACAGUCAACCAUAAACAGUCAGAAAGAAAACAGUCAACCAUAAAAAGUCAACAAGAAAACAGUCAGCCAGAAAACAGUCAACCAUAAACAGUCAGCAAGAAAACAGUCAGCAAGAAAACAGUCAACACCAAACCGGUCAAAAAGAAAACAGUCAACAAGAAGACAGUCAACACCAAACCAGUCAAAAAGAAAACAGUCAAAAAGAAAACAGUCAACAAGAAAACAGUCAGCAAGAAAACGUCAACCAUAAACAGUCAGAAAGAAAACAGUCAACAAGAAAACAGUCAACAAGAAAACAGUCAACCAUAAACAGUCAGAAAGAAAACAGUCAACCAUAAAAAGUCAACAAGAAAACAGUCAGCCAGAAAACAGUCAACCAUAAACAGUCAGCAAGAAAACAGUCAGCAAGAAAACAGUCAACACCAAACCGGUCAAAAAGAAAACAGUCAACAAGAAGACAGUCAACACCAAACCAGUCAAAAAGAAAACAGUCAACAAGAAAACAGUCAGCAAGAAAACGUCAACCAUAAACAGUCAGCAAGAAAACAGUCAACAAGAUAACAGUCAACCACAAUCAACAAGAAAACUGUCAACAAGAAAACAGUCAACCACAAACAGUCAACACCAAAACAGGCAACAAGAAUACAGUCAACAAGAAAAUGCUGCUCCCCCGUGUCGUUCAGGAGCCCAAACAAAGUUAGCGUGCUACAAUAUCGGACAUUUUUUAUAUCUUGAUAUGAUUGAAAAGUCCUGAUCUCUAAUAUUCUCUCAGCUGGAUUUGACCAUUAAAUUAACCUUUCCAUCAAACCUGAGAGCUCUGUGUGUCGGUGCAGGUCGGAUUCAAUCUUUCUAAACUACCUCAGAGUCUGUGUGUGCAGGACGAUCAGACCGUAUGGAGAGAAGAAGCAGGAGGAACACAAUCCUCCAUGACGACACGAUCAUCAAAGCCGUUCUCCACCUCCUCUAACCUGAUUGGUUGUGAGGCAGACGCUGCUCCCCCGUGUCGUUCAGGAGCCCAAACAAAGUUAGCGUGCUACAAUAUCGGACAGUAGAAACCAACCAGAAAGUUCGGAAAAUUGUCUGAA